AAGCUCUAGAUAAUAAAAAUAUCAGAUGUUAAAGUUUGGAGGUAUAAACAAGUCAUUCUAAAUCAGAAUAUUGCAAAAUUUUAAUGUUAGUGGAUUUUCUCAUUGUUGAAGCCCAUACAGUAACCUAUUUUACAUUAACAUCAUUUGGUCUCUGUAGGAUAGUUGUCUCACAUCUCUUGAUAUCACAACAAAUCAAUUUGUAGGUUCUAUAAAGUGGUCCAAUCCUAUGGUGAAGGAGGGGAAUUUUGACUGCCAACGAGGAGGAUAUUUUUGGACAGAAAUUUAGUUGCAACAAGGACAUCUGUUUUUAAAUGCUAAAGAUUUGGUUCUUUUGUCGUGCCCAGCUCUUAAUAAUCACAGUAACAUUCCAUUAAAUGGACUGGAGAAGUCUUGAUUACAAUAAUCAUAUUGCUUUUUACUUUUCAACACUAUUGGAUCUUGUGUCAUACCAUCUUUAGAUGGUGGAUGGAGUAUAUGGAGGUGUUCCUGCUACCUCUCUAUAUGUAGACAACGUCACUGUUGUUGUGAGGUUCUUAUUUCUAAGCCUUAAUGUAUGUCCGUUACAGCGCCCUUAGGGAGCAAAACGUGGCAGAUAUUACUACACCCUCAAAUUUAAAUGGACUGUAGAAGUCAAGAUUACAAUAAUGAUACUUUCAGCACCAUUGCACGGUUUGGUUGUCUUGCCCAGCUCUUAAUGGUCCAAAAUGCUGUACAAUGGGUUAUGUUUUAAAAAUUGAAGAUAAAAGAUCAAGUUUUGAAUAUCUUCUUUUUUUCUCUGAAGAUGGCAAAUCAAAUUAUUAAUUCACGAGCUCUUAAGAUAAUAAAAAUAUCAGGUGUUAAAGUUUGGAGGUAUAAACAAGUCAUUCUCAAUCAAAAUAUUGCAAAAUUGUAAUGUUAGUGGAUUUUCUCAUUGUUGAAGCCCAUACAGUAACCUAUUUUACAUUAACAUCAUUUGGUCUCUGUAGGAUAGUUGUCUCACAUCUCUUGAUAUCACAACAAAACAAUUUGUAGGUUCUCAAAGGUGGGCCAAUGAUGAAGGUAGGGGAAAUUUUGACUGCCAGCCGAGAGGAGGAUAAUGUUGGACAGAAAGUUAGCCUUGCAACAAGCCACAUCCUACUGACACCUCAAAAGAUUUGUGGCAAGGGUUCUUUAACAUGCAGAGUUGCACUGUCCCUACAGAAAGGACCUAUACUUUUUAAACUGCCAUUCCAAUUUUUGUUUUGUUUUAAAUAUGAUAACUUUAGAAGACUUAAAGGCGGGGGUCAUAAAAAUAUCAAAAUAAUCCCACCCUCAAUGUUUAUUAUCUAGAACUCUGUUUUCUAUUUUGCUUUCAUAUUAUUUUUUGGUAUUUUCUUUUUUAUAUAUUUUUUUCUUUUUUUUUUUACAGAGCUCUAGAUAAUAAAAAUAUCAGAUGUUAAAGUUUGGAGGUAUAAACAAGUCAUUCUAAAUCAGAAUAUUGCACAAUUUUAAUGUUAGUGGAUUUUCUCAUUGUUGGAGCCCAUACAGUAACCUAUUUUACAUUAACAUCAAUUGGUCUCUGUAGUAUAGUUGUCUCACAUCUCUUGAUAUCACAACAAAUCAAUUUGUAGGUUCUAUAAAGUGGUCCAAUCCUAUGGUGAAGGGAGGGGAAAUUUUGACUGCCAACCGAGGAGGAUAUUUUUGGACAGAAAUUUAGCCUAAUGCAACAAGCCACAUCCUACUGACACCUCAAAAGAGUUGUGACAAGGGUUCUUUAACGUGCAGAGUGGCACUGUCUGUCCCUACAAAUAGGACCUAUACUUUCCCGCUACCUCUAUGUGUAGACAACAUCACUGUUGUUGUGACAUUCUUAUUUCUAAGCCUUAAUUUAUGUCCGUUACAACGCCCUUAGGGAGGAAAUAGUAGCAGAUAGUACUACACCCUCAAAUGGAUUGUAGAAGUCCAGUUUACAAUAAUGGUACUUUCAGCACCAUAACCCGCUUUGGUUGUCUUGUCCAGCUCUUAAUGGUCCAAAAUGCUGUACAAUGGAUUAUGAUUUAAAAAUUGAAGAUAAAAGAUUAAGUUUUGAAUAUAUCUACUUUUUUUCUUUGAAGAUGGCAAAUCAAAUUAUUAAUUCAUUAAAAAUUCAGAAUAACUCAAAUCUUUACACCACACAAACGCGCCAACAAAGAAUGUGCAAUGAAAAGAAUUGAGUUAUUGUUUGAAACAUCAAAAAUGUUAAAGUUUCACGCAUUGUUUUUUAUUUGAACAGCAAUUUUCAGAUCUCAGGACAAGUUUUCUUUGGAACACACUCAGGACAAGUUAUCUUUGGAAGACAUUAUAAAUUUCUGUUUUGCAAAAGAUUAAAAGUUUUGGAUACUUUCUUUUUUUCUUUGAAGAUAACAAAUCUAAUUAUUAAUUCAUUAAAAAUUCAGACUAACCCAAUUGUUUACACCACACAAACUUUCCGGAGGUAACAUAUUUAUUUUUUGUCCAUUCUUUUUUCUUUCUUUUUUUCUUUUUUUUAAAAUAUACUGCAGUGCCAACAAAGAAUGUGCAAUGACAAGAAAUGAGUUAUUGUUUGAAAAUCAAAAAUGUUAAAUGUUCACAUUGUUUUUAUUUGAACAGCAAUUUUCAGAUCUCAGGACAAGUUUUCUUUGGAACACAUUAUAAAUUUUUGUUUUUCAAAUGAUUUCAACUGACAUAAACAAGACUGGAAAGGUCGAAAUUACCAAAAUGCUAAUUUCACUAUUAUUGGUUCUUUUGUCGUGCCCAGCUCUUAAUGAUGGAAAACCCUGUAUCACAGUAACAUUCCUUUAAAUGAACUGGAGAAGUCUUGAUUACAAUAAUCAUAUUGCUUUUUACUUUUCAACACUAUUGGAUCUUGUGUCAUACCAGCUUUAGAUGGUGGAUGGAGUAUAUGGAGGUGUUAAGAAUUGCACAAGAGGUGUUCCUGCUACCUCUCUAUAUGUAGACAAUGUCACUGUUGUUGUGACGUUCUCAUUUCUAAGCCUUAAUUUAUGUCCGUUACAACGCCCUUAGGGAGAAAAACUACACCCUCAAAUGGACUGUAGAAGUCCAGAUUACAAUAAUGGUACUUUCAGCACCAUUGCACGGUUUGGUUGUCUUGCCCAGCUCUUAAUGGUCCAAAAUGCUGUACAAUGGAUUAUGUUUUAAAAAUUGAAGAUAAAAGAUUAAGUUUUGAAUAUCUUCUUUUUUUCUCUGAAGAUGGCAAAUCAAAUUAUUAAUUCACGAGCUCUAGAUAAUAAAAAUAUCAGGUGUUAAAGUUUGGAGGUAUAAACAAGUCAUUCUCAAUCAAAAUAUUGCAAAAUUGUAAUGUUAGUGGAUUUUCUCAUUGUUGAAGCCCAUACAGUAACCUAUUUUACAUUAACAUCAUUUGGUCUCUGUAGGAUAGUUGUCUCACAUCUCUUGAUAUCACAACAAAACAAUUUGUAGGUUCUCAAAGGUGGGCCAAUGAUGAAGGUAGGGGAAAUUUUGACUGCCAACCGAGAGGAGGAUAAUGUUGGACAGAAAGUUAGCCUUUGCAACAAGCCACAUCCUACUGACACCUCAAAAGAUUUGUGGCAAGGGUUCUUUAACAUGCAGAGUUGCACUGUCCCUACAGAAAGGACCUAUACUUUUUAAACUGCCAUUCCAAUUUUUUUUGUUUU
rnacentral:lncRNA from 1 species